AGGGAACGGCCGCUCGGGAAGGCUCCGUCUGCCGGCGAAGGAAUGGAGAAGAGAGAGGCCGAAGAGGAGGGUCAUGGACGCAGGGAAAGGUGGGAAUUAAUGGAGGUGAAUGAAAGAAGCGAGCGCGCGAGACCGAGCUGGAAAGGGGAAGGUCCUCUCGUGGCAGCAGCGAGGAGAAUCCAAAGAAAAUGGCGGACAACCGGUUCAUCGCGGCGACGGGAAUCCAGACUUAGAGAGGGGAAAAGAAGAGGCAAAUGGGGCCGUUUGACUUCACCACAGCGAGCAGCUCGUUGAACUUCACCAAGCGAGCAAGCUCGUUGACUCACCACAGCGAGCAAGCUCCGUUUGACUUCACCACAGCGAGCAAGCUCCGUUUGACUUCACCACAGCGAGCAAGCUCCGUUUGACUUCACCACAGCGAGCAGGCUUGUCAUUAUAUAGGCAAUUAUUCCUGAGCACGGAAGUAUUAUACCCACUGCAACGCAGGAAAGGGGGCGACCUGCCUUGCCAACCCCAGUGCCUCUUGAUAAGGACAACUCUUCCGAGAGUGAAUAAAAUCGGAAACCUGUGCACUUGCCCACAAAAAACAUUUAAUGUGUGUCUGCCAGCUGCCCAAGAAAGUGCAUGUGUGAAAAAUAUUAUAUUGAAAGCCAGAUCAAAGUUUUACAAGUUGCAAGUUACAUCUACUGCUAGAAAUACUACCACGUCGAGGAUGUGUGAUGGUGAAGCGUAAAAAAGGAGGCACGACAAUAU